rnacentral:lncRNA from 12 species
CUGGUCACACAGUCACAGGGACAGUGACCUCCCAGGGACAGUGACCUCCCAGAGGAGGGACAGGAUGACACAGACAUCAUUCCUAGGUAUGGAGAGAACCCAAAGGUGGGACAGGCAGCUGGGAGAUGAGAGACCCACUUCCACCCUGUAGAGAUGAAGGGACUAAGGGCAGAGAGGCCCCAGAGCUGAGGACCCAUCAUCUUGAGGUCAGAGUCCCUCAUCCCAAGAGGAGCAAGCCAUGGGUUCUCACCCCUGCUAAGUUUCCAUUUCCUUUCCCAUGGCCAUGCCAACCUCAUUGCUGCCCUGCCCACUGCAAGAUGACUCCACGAAUAGCAGGGAUUCAGAUGAAAGGAGCAACAUUGUGCCUCAUCACCCUCACCCGUCACCACUGAGUCUGGGAUCAGCUCUGAACAGCCAAGGAGGGAGUGGGCCUGGGGUCAGCAGGGCGGAGCCCACCCAGCUCUCAAGAAGCAUUGCUUCCACUGAUAUAAGGGAGGAAGCAACAGAAGAAAUCGGUCACUCAGGAGAAAAAGAGGAACUAGGAAGAAGCGGCACAGCAGGACAGUCUGACCUCGUCCCAGAAGCUCCAGAUUCUCCUGAGGUCCUCAGAGACGGUGAGCCACGAGAUGCCUCGGCCUUGGUCUGCAGCUUCGGUGGGGACUCAGAGGAUGGAAAGGCGUGA